UACGUAGGGGGGCAAGCGUUGUCCGGAUUUAUUGGGCGUAAAGAGCGUGUAGGCGGCUAUACAGGUCCGCUGUGAAAACUCGAGGCUCAACCUCGAGACGUCGGUGGAAACCGUAUGGCUAGAGUCCGGAAGAGGAGAGUGGAAUUCCUGGUGUAGCGGUGAAAUGCGCAGAUAUCAGGAAGAACACCCGUGGCGAAGGCGGCUCUCUGGGACGGUACUGACGCUGAGACGCGAAAAGCGUGGGGAGCGAACAGG
rnacentral:rRNA from 1 species